rnacentral:rRNA from 1 species
UUAAAAGCUUGUGACGGAUCCCUUGGUAUCUAGAAGUUAAAUAGGACGUGAUUUACCUGCGAUAAGUUUCGGGGAGUAGGAGAAAGCUUUGAUCCGGAAAUUUCCUAAUUUUUUUCUGAAUCUAUAAGGAAAAAGAAUCAACCUAGGGAACUGAAACAUCUUAGUACCUAGAGGAAAAGAAAGUAAAAACGAUUCCCGUAGUAGUGGCGAACGAACUGGGAUGUAUUGUCUAAACCAUUCUUAUUAGGAAUGGGGUUAUAGGGUAAAAGAUUAGACAAAGAACAAUGGUAGGUGAAAUUGUUGGAAAGCGAUACCCAAGAAAGUGAUAGUCUUGUAACCGAAACCAAUUUCUUUGACUUUUUUAUUCCUGAGUAGUAUGGAACACGAGGAAUUCCGUAUGAAGUUACGAAGACCACUUCGUAAGACUAAAUAUUCCUAGAUAUCCGAUAGCGAAAUAGUACCGUGAGGGAAUGGUGAAAAAGAACCCCGGGAGGGGAUUGAAAAAGAACGUGAAAUUGCAAGCUUACAAACAGAAGAAACUCCUUUUUUAGUAGUAUUUCUUCGUGCCUGUUGAAGAAUGUUCCGGCGAGUUAUAGUUAGUGGCGGGUUAAAAUAGAGAUAUUGGAGCCAUAGUGAAAGCGAGCUUGAAUAGAGCGAAAGUCACUAAUUAUAGACCCGAACCCGCUUGAUCUAACCAUGUCCAGGGUGAAACUUAGGUGACACUAAGGGGAGGCCCGAACCGACUAAUGUUGAAAAAUUAGCGGAUGAGGUGUGGUUAGGGGUGAAAUGCCAAUCGAAAGCGGAGCUAGCUGGUUCUCCCCGAAAUGUAUUGAGGUGCAGCGGUUAAUCUUUUAGCAUAGGGGUAAAGCACUGUUUUAAACGGGGCCACAACAACUGGUACCUUAUUGAGGCAAACUCUGAAUACUAUGUGUACAAUUAACCAGUAAGACUAUGAGGGAUAAGCUUCAUUGUCAAGAGGGAAACAGCCCAGAUCACCAGUUAAGGCCCCUAAAUGAUUACUAAGUGAAAAAGGAAGUGAAAAGGCUAAAACAACCAGGAGGUUCGCUUAGAAGCAGCAAUCCUUUAAAAAGUGCGUAAUAGCUUACUGGUCUAGCAGUUUUGCGCCGAAAAUUUUUGGGACUAAGUAAUUUGCCGAAGCUGUGAGAUAUAAACAAUUAUAUCGGUAGGGGAGCGUUCCACAGUAGAAUGAAGUGAACACGAAAGUGUUUAUGGACGAACUGGAAGUGAGAAUGUCGGAUUGAGUAGCGAAAACAAUGGUGAGAAUCCAUUGCUCCGAAACCCUAAGGUUUCCUCUGGAAGGCUCGUCCGCAGAGGGUUAGUCAGGUUCUAAGAUGAGGCUGAAAAGCGUAGUCGAUGGAUAAUGGGUUAAUAUUCCUAUACUAAUACCUAUCGUUUUUUCUUUUUUUAUUUUAAAAAAAAAUCAAAAUCAGAAAAAAUUGAAAGAAAAAUGACGAAGAAGGCUAGGUUAGCCAAUGAAUGGUUUUUGGUUUAAGCUAUUAAGAUUGAUACUCAAGAUUCAUUAUUGCUUUAAAGUUAAAGCAAGAUCGGAAAUUGUCAGUUGAAAUACCAAUACAAGAUUUUAAGAAUCAAAGUAACUAAUGUCAUACUUCCAAGAAAAGUUUUUCUUUUGAAAAGAUAGCGAAUUAUCUGUACCAGAAACCGACACAGGUGGGGAAGUAGAGAAUACUAAGGAGCGCGAGAGAACCCUCCUUAAGGAACUCGGCAAAAUAGCUCUGUAACUUCGGAAGAAAGAGCGCCCAUUGGGCUGAAAUAUCAAGUUCCAAGCAACUGUUUAACAAAAACACAGGUCUCCGCUAAGUUGUAAAACGACGUAUGGGGGCUGACGCCUGCCCAGUGCCGGAAGGUUAAAAAAGUGAGUCAAGAGUUUUCUGAAGCUUAUGAUUGAAGCCCCGGUGAACGGCGGCCGUAACUAUAACGGUCCUAAGGUAGCGAAAUUCCUUGUCGGGUAAGUUCCGACCCGCACGAAUGGCGUAAUGAUUUGGAAACUGUCUCAAGGAGGGACUCGGCGAAAUAGAAAUGUCUGUGAAGAUGCGGACUACCUGCGCCAGGACAGUAAGACCCUAUGAAGCUUUACUGUAGCCUGAAAUUGAGUUUCGAUUUUCUUUGCGCAGAAUAGGUGGGAGACUACGAAGGCUUUCUUGUGGGAAAGCUAGAGUCGAUCGUGAGAUACCACUCUAAGAAGAUUGAACCUCUUCAUUUUCAACCGUUAGCCGGUGAAAAAACAGUUUCAGGUGGGCAGUUUGACUGGGGCGGUCGCCUCCUAAAAGGUAACGGAGGCGUACAAAGGUUUCCUCAAAUCAGAUAGAAAUUGAUUGAAGAGCGCAAAGGUAAAAGGAAGCUUAACUGUGAGACAAACAAGUCAAACAGAGACGAAAGUCGGUCUUAGUGAUCUGACGUUUUCUGUGUGGAAAGGACGUCACUCAACGGAUAAAAGUUACUCUAGGGAUAACAGGCUGAUCUCCCCCAAGAGUUCACAUCGACGGGGAGGUUUGGCACCUCGAUGUCGGCUCAUCGCAUCCUGGGGCGGUAGUACGUCCCAAGGGUUGGGCUGUUCGCCCAUUAAAGCGGUACGUGAGCUGGGUUCAGAACGUCGCGAGACAGUUCGGUCCAUAUCCGGCGUGGGCGAUGGAGUAUUGAGAGUGGCCUUUCUCUAGUACGAGAGGACCGAGAAAGACAUACCGCUAGUGUACCAGUUAUUUCACCAGAAGUACAUGCUGGGUAGCUAUGUAUGGUUUAGAUAACCGCUGAAAGCAUCUAAGUGGGAAGCUGUCCUCAAGAUAAAUACUCUUAAGAAACGAUAAGACGAAUCGUUUGAAAGGAACCUGGUGAAAGUAUAGAAAUAUAUUAGCUUAGGUUUACUAAAAAUUACUAUUUUAAGUUU